rnacentral:rRNA from 1 species
UACGAAGGGUGCAAGCGUUACUCGGAAUUACUGGGCGUAAAGCGUGCGUAGGUGGUGAGUUAAGUCUGUCGUGAAAGCCCCGGGCUCAACCUGGGAAUGGCGAUGGAUACUGGCUCGCUAGAGUGCGGUAGAGGAGAGUGGAAUUCCCGGUGUAGCAGUGAAAUGCGUAGAGAUCGGGAGGAACAUCAGUUGCGAAGGCGGCUCUCUGGACCAGCACUGACACUGAGGCACGAAAAGCGUGGGGGAGCAAAACAGGG